rnacentral:rRNA from 1 species
UACGGGGGGGGGCAAGCGUUGUUCGGAAUUACUGGGCGUAAAGGGCUCGUAGGCGGCCAACUAAGUCAGACGUGAAAUCCCUCGGCUUAACCGGGGAACUGCAUCUGAUACUGGAUGGCUUGAGUUCGGUAGAGGGCGGCGGAAUUCCCGGUGUAGCGGUGAAAUGCGUAGAUAUCGGGAGGAACAUCGAUGGCGAAAGCAACCGCCUGGGCCUGAACUGACACUGAGACACGAAAGCGUGGGAGCAAACAGG